rnacentral:tRNA from 1 species
GGGGUUGUGGCUCAGUGGUAGAGCUCUUGCCUAGCAUGCACAAGGCACUGGGUUCGAUCCUCAGCACCA